rnacentral:rRNA from 1 species
UCCUGGCUCAGGAUGAACGCUAGCUACAGGCUUAACACAUGCAAGUCGAGGGCAUCGAUGGAGUUGCUUAGCAAACUCUGAUGGCGACCGGCGCACGGGUGAGUAACGCGUAUCCAACCUUCCCUAUAGUAGAGGAUAGCCCGGCGAAAGUCGGAUUAAUACUCUAUGUUUCCGUUGCAGACAUCUAAGAUGGAACAAGGCUUGCCGCUAUAGGAUGGGGAUGCGUCUGAUUAGGUAGUCGGCGGGGUAACGGCCCACCGAGCCAUCGAUCAGUAGGGGUUCUGAGAGGAAGGUCCCCCACAUUGGAACUGAGACACGGUCCAAACUCCUACGGGAGGCAGCAGUGAGGAAUAUUGGUCAAUGGGCGAGAGCCUGAACCAGCCAAGUAGCGUGCAGGACGACGGCCCUAUGGGUUGUAAACUGCUUUUAUGCGGGGAUAAAGUUCACUACGUGUAGUGUUUUGUAGGUACCGCAUGAAUAAGGACCGGCUAAUUCCGUGCCAGCCGCAGC